AACGCGAAGAACCUUACCAGCCCUUGACAUCCCGGUCGCGGGAACCAGAGAUGGAUCCCUUCAGUUCGGCUGGACCGGAGACAGGUGCUGCAUGGCUGUCGUCAGCUCGUGUCGUGAGAUGUUGGGUUAAGUCCCGCAACGAGCGCAACCCUCGCCCUUAGUUGCCAUCAUUCAGUUGGGCUCUCUAAGGGGACUGCCGGUGAUAAGCCGCGAGGAAGGUGGGGAUGACGUCAAGUCCUCAUGGCCCUUACGGGCUGGGCUACACACGUGCUACAAUGGCGGUGACAGUGGGACGCAAUGGAGCAAUCCUGCGCAAAUCUCAAAAAGCCGUCUCAGUUCGGAUUGUGCUCUGCAACUCGAGCACAUGAAGUUGGAAUCGCUAGUAAUCGUGGAUCAGCACGCCACGGUGAAUACGUUCCCGGGCCUUGUA
rnacentral:rRNA from 1 species